GACGAACGCUGGCGGCGUGCUUAACACAUGCAAGUCGAACGGAGUGGCGAACGGGUGAGUAACACGUGGGUGAUCUGCCUUGCACUUCGGGAUAAGCUUGGGAAACUGGGUCUAAUACCGGAUAGUGCAAGAUGAGCUCGCGGCCUAUCAGCUUUUUGGUGGGGUAAUGGCCUACCAAGGCGUCGACGGGUAGGCGGCCUGAGAGGGUGUACGGGUAAAUUGGGACUGAGAUACGGAGCAGACUCGUACGGGAGGCAGCAGUGGGGAAUAUUGCGCAAUGUGCGGAAGUGUGAUGCAGCGACGCCGGGUGGGGGAUGAAGGCCUUCGGGUUGUAAACUCCUUUCGACAGGGACGCGGUACCUGUAUAAGAAGCACCGGCUAACUACGUGCCAGCAGCCGCGGUAAUAC
rnacentral:rRNA from 1 species